rnacentral:rRNA from 1 species
UACGUAGGGUGCAAGCGUUGUCCGGAAUUAUUGGGCGUAAAGAGCUCGUAGGCGGUUUGUCGCGUCUGCUGUGAAAACUCGGGGCUCAACUCCGAGCUUGCAGUGGGUACGGGCAGACUAGAGUGCGGUAGGGGAGAGCUGGAAUUCCUGGUGUAGCGGUGGAAUGCGCAGAUAUCAGGAGGAACACCCGGUGGCGAAGGCGGGUCUCUGGGCCGUAACUGACGCUGAGGAGCGAAAGCAUGGGGAGCGAACAGG